rnacentral:rRNA from 1 species
UGGGGAAUAUUGCACAAUGGGCGAAAGCCUGAUGCAGCGACGCCGCGUGAGGGACGAAGGUCUUCGGAUUGUAAACCUCUUUCAGCAGGGACGAAGCGAAAGUGACUGUACCUGCAGAAGAAGCACCGGCUAACUACGUGCCAGCAGCCGCGGUAAUACGAAGGGUGGAAGCGUUGUACGGAUUUAUUGGGCGUCAAGAGCUCGUAGGCGGUUCGUCACGUCGGAUGUGAAAACCUGGGGCUUAACCCCGGGCCUGCAUACGAUACGGGCGAACUAGAGUUCGGUAGGGGAGACUGGAAUUCCUGGUGUAGCGGUGAAAUGCGCAGAUAUCAGGAGGAACACCGGUGGCGAAGGCGGGUCUCUGGGCCGAUACUGACGCUGAGGAGCGAAAGCGUGGGGAGCAAACA